CUCGGUUUCUCCCGACCCAGCACAUCGGUAAAAAAAAGUCCGGCCUCUCCCCUUCUUUUUCCUCGUCACUCCCUCGCCUCCUCCCUCUACGCCGGCAGAGCGACGGCGGCGGCCGCCCUCCUCCUCUUCCUCCUCCCCCCUCGCAUCGCAGCAUGCUGGACAGGCCAGCACGCCGGCCCACCGCGCAAGGCGCUGCCAGGGCGCGACGGCACCCCCUGGCUGCGGCGCGACGCCAUACGUGGGCCUCGGCGGUGGCCGUCACCAGUCAUGGCCGCCGCCUCGUCCUUCUCCUCCACUCGCGUCCCGGUGUACCGGCCUCUCUACAUCCUCGCCCGUGACCUCGUCGUAUGUGCUGCUCGGGGCGGCUGGGCGCCGGCUCUUCCUCUUCGUCGACGGUGACGCCGGCCUCUGCUCGGCCUCUAGCUCUGGCGGCGGCCAUCAUCAGGCCUUCGCUGGCGGCGAGCACCCACCAGGUACACACAUCCCUUCUCUUCCCUGCUUGUUGUGCAGCACCGAGCACUCAAACCCUAGCUUAAUCCAUUUGUAUUAGAAUCUGAUCUGGCUACAAUCUCUUUAGAUUUGUUACCUGGUAAGUGUGCAACCUUUUUUUUCUCCACAGAUUAUUCCCAUGUUUAUUUUUCCCUAUAAAUUUGAACCUUAUUUUCUAAAUAUUGACGCUGGCAAGGCCAACUGGAUCAGCAGCUCAGGGAAAAACACAUGAUGAACUCCCCAAGCUGAGCAUGUAGCAAACCUAGAAGCUCGGCCUGAAGCUAUGCGAGAACGCUUUUGCUUACUCACUAUCUUUAGUUUUUUUUUCAUCUAAGUUAACUAACGAGUCUCUAAUAUGAAAUUAACUAAUGGUUUCUGUAUUUUUUUCCUCCAGAAUACCUUAAGUCUACUCUAUUUUACCUCUGAUUCGUACAUUAUUGUCAAAGACUACCAACAGGGAGCUGCCUGGAUAAUCUAUCAAAACAAUGCAUGGCCUAGCAGUUUUCUUGCAGUAAGGUUAAGAUUUUCAGACGCAAAAAUGAAAGAGUAUGCAGACAAGGCUGAAGAACUUGGUGCAAUGCUUGCUACCGAAGUGUGAGUUAAGUCCCUUUACAAAGAAGUAAUUACUUCUCCAUCUAAACCGCAUUGGAGUGCUUCUUACCCUACCAGGUAACCCCCUCUCUGGUGCCUAUCUUAUUCUGGUCGUCUUUCUAUUUUUUGCAUUAUUUGGCUUAACAACAAUUUUAUCGACCGGAAAGCUAAAAGGCACAAGACUCACAUGGAUUCAGUCUUCAGCCAAAACCUAGAGCUCAGACGUCUACUUCAACAAAGAAAACAAAAUAGGGUGCACCACCAUCUUAAACAUGGGUCAUCUUCUUUACAGAAUGACAAGCAACAACUACUCAUGAACUAAUGUUUGUAGAAUAUUGCCUCUGUUAUUUUCUCAAGUAGAAUUGCUAGAAUUAGCCAUCAACCUGCUUCAUACUAAACUUGCAUAACAACUUUAUCACACACUUGACGAUGUUUUCUUUGCCUAUUAAACUCUCCUGUCUUAAUGCAGUGGCACCUCCUAUCAUCGUUUAUAGUGUUUCAAAACUUUGUUGUUCUAUAUUUAUUUAUCAACUUCCAAUACCUUCUA